AUAAAACAAUCAUAACAAAAGCGUAAAAAAAUAAAAACAUUUUUUUAUGCAAAAUAAACGAAAAAAAUAAUUAGUAAAGAUCAAGAAAGAAUACAUGAGAAAUGAGCAUUUGGAGCAUUUAAAACCUCACUCAAAGCUAGCAAUCGUUAAAUGUCAAUAGUUCCUUUCUGUAAAUUUUUUCCAUAUGAAGCCAUUGAACAAGAGAUCAACAAAGAAUAAAUGUAAAGGAGGUGAACAAACAAAUUCUACUCAUCUAAACCAGAUUAUGUACAGCUAAAUAUCUACAGAAUAAUAGCUGCUGCCCAUUUUUCAUAUCAAAUAUGUUGUAUCUUCUGCAUGCAAAGGUAAGAGAGUGAGAUUGUAAUAGUCCUUAUCUAUGGAUAAAUGGUUAUCAGUUGCAGAACCCAUCACUCCCCAAUCAUCCACCGAAAUUAAGUAUUGAUCGUCAAUUUGAGAAUCAUCCUCACCACUUUCCUCCGCUGAUUUAACUUCAGUAUUCAAAUCUGGCAUGCCAGCCAAAAGGGCCUCAAGGGGAGACUUGAGGUUCACGUUUUCCUGAGAAGUGAACUUCACUUCUAGAAUUGGAGUUUCAAAAUCCACUUUAGAAGCAGUCCGUGAAAAUUCAACAACAUCCUGCAGAAUGCCUAGGCUAGACCCUUCAUCUAUAACUUCUAUACAAGUGGUCAAUUCAUUUGAAACAGCAACUUCAUUGGUAUUAUCAGAGCCAUUGUCAGUUUGAUUUCCAGAAAAUUGUUCCAAACUAUCAGUUUUCUCCAGAGUUGAAAUGUCACUUGUUCCAUUGCCAACUUUCCCAUAUUGCAUAUCAUCAAUUCUCUGAUAAGGACCAGUCCUUGCCAUGUCAUUGGCAGCUGGUACCAUGCAGUCAAUACAAAUGCCCUGGGUAUCACCUCCCUCCCCCUCACUAUCCUGUGAGUGUUCAUCAACUACUGUGUCUGUUUUCAAACAGUACAUAUUGUUAGGAUACGCUAUCGCAUUCUCAGAGCUUUCUACAGAAGAAAUAUUGGAUAGAGAUGAAGAUGAACUCCUUGGGAGGUCUGUCCCAUUAUGUUCACUGAAAUCAGUGGGAGGUUCUGUUAUUAUUUCACAAUAACCUUUUGGUGAAGCUGUUUUGCUGUGGCUAUUUUCAUCUUCAUUUGGAAACUCAGCAGCUUUAACUGCUAUAGUUUUUGAAUAACUUGGGGACUGGAUUGAAGUCGAAGAUACGAGCCCAGCAAGUGCAGAUGCUAAAGCAUCAUCAAUUGACAUAACAUGCUUUUGUUUCUCCUUUGGAGACUCCAUCACUGGUUGCACUGCAUCACCUUCUUCCUCAUCAUCACAAUUUGAAAAAUCUGGAGCAGUAACUAUAAGACUAGGAUGUGAUUUCGAAGUAUUCACUGAAACAGAUGUGGCAUCAGAGAGAACAGAUGACACAGCUGGAAGUGAAUCCUUCUUAUUGGCAUCACAAGCUGCAUAACUAAGAUCCACACAACCACUAUUAUAGAGGGAAUUGGUCUCUGAUUCACUGCAUGAAAAUUCAGGGGCAGAUGUUCUUGCGCAAGAAAGCGAUCCAGAACUCUGGGUUUUCUUCGUGAGUCCUUCAAGUUGCUGCUCUACUCUUUGGAGCCUCUCAUCAAUGCUUCUUAUGGGCUUCAGCAUACAAUCCUCAAACCUCAAAAGUAGAUCUUCUAUGCUGUUAACUCGAGAAAGAAGCUGGUUCAAAACACCUUCAAUAUGAUUAUUUGAUAGUUCGUGCUCGCUCUCUGUAUCUGAAAAUUGUUCAGGAAUCUCCAGCUGGACUGGUUUGGCAAUAGGCAAAACUGCUUCUUGCACUUGCACACCCUGGUGAUAAAUUGAAUCAGAUUUCCCUUCCUGCUGAAUUUCAUUUCCAGUAUCAAUUGGAAUGGUUUGUUUUGCCUCAAUUUUGUCUGACUUCUGCCCAUUCAUUCUAUCAGAACCAUAUUUAUCUUCUGCUCGGCCAACACCUUUUGUUUUAGAUAACUGCAAGAGGGUAGGCAUAAGCAUGGCCAUAAGUGAAGUUCCAGCAGAGUUUUCUACUGGACCCGCUUUAUUAUCCAAAUUAGCUGCAUCAACAGGAUCAGCAAACACAUAGACUUCAUCAAUACAAACACAAGCUUUAUUCUGAAGUGAUAGUAGCCUCAGCGUAAUGGAUGUGCAAGGGCUUGUAUCAGUAAUAUCUGCUGUCGCCUCAUACAAAUCCUGCAGCUGAGAGCUUCUCCCUUGGUUUGUAUCAUAAUUUAACAAUAGAGAACUGUUCCUGUUGACUAGCUGAGUAUCAAGAACUUUCACUUCAACCCAGUCAUCUUCAUUGGU
rnacentral:misc_RNA from 1 species